CGCUGGCGGUAGGCCUAACACAUGCAAGUCGAACGGCAGCACAGGAGAGCUUGCUCUCUGGGUGGCGAGUGGCGGACGGGUGAGGAAUACAUCGGAAUCUACUUUUUCGUGGGGGAUAACGUAGGGAAACUUACGCUAAUACCGCAUACGACCUACGGGUGAAAGCAGGGGAUCUUCGGACCUUGCGCGAUUGAAUGAGCCGAUGUCGGAUUAGCUAGUUGGCGGGGUAAAGGCCCACCAAGGCGACGAUCCGUAGCUGGUCUGAGAGGAUGAUCAGCCACACUGGAACUGAGACACGGUCCAGACUCCUACGGGAGGCAGCAGUGGGGAAUAUUGGACAAUGGGCGCAAGCCUGAUCCAGCCAUACCGCGUGGGUGAAGAAGGCCUUCCGGGUUGUAAAGCCCUUUUGUUGGGAAAGAAAUCCAGCUGGCUAAUACCCGGUGGGAUGACGGUACCCAAA
rnacentral:rRNA from 1 species